UGCUUAACACAUGCAAGUCGAACGGGAUCCACGUUUUCCUUUUUGGUUUUUGUGGUGAGAGUGGCGAACGGGUGAGUAACACGUGAGUAACCUGCCCUCUUCUUUGGGAUAACGGUCGGAAACGGCUGCUAAUACCGGGUAUUCACUUUGCGGCGCAUGCUGUGGGGUGGAAAGCUUUUGUGGUGGGGGAUGGGCUCGCGGCCUAUCAGCUUGUUGGUGGGGUGAUGGCUUACCAAGGCUUUGACGGGUAGCCGGCCUGAGAGGGUGACCGGUCACAUUGGGACUGAGAUACGGCCCAGACUCCUACGGGAGGCAGCAGUGGGGAAUAUUGCACAAUGGGCGAAAGCCUGAUGCAGCGACGCCGCGUGAGGGAUGGAGGCCUUCGGGUUGUGAACCUCUUUCGCUCAUGGCCAAGCCGCGGUUUGGAUCGUGGUGAGGGUAGUGGGUAAAGAAGCGCCGGCUAACUACGUGCCAGCAG
rnacentral:rRNA from 1 species